rnacentral:tRNA from 1 species
GGAGAUAUAGCUCAAUAGUAAGGUGCUUGCCUGGCAUGCAAGAGGCCCUAGAUGCAAUCCCUAGUACCACCA